rnacentral:tRNA from 2 species
UGCCUCGUGGUGUAAUGGUAGCACAACUGACUCUGGAUCAGUUUGUCUAGGUUCGAGUCCUAGCGAGGCAGCCA